GAGAAGUUUUCGGAUGGAUCUCGGGAUAGUUUAGUGGCGGACGGGUGAGUAACACGUGAGCAACCUACCUUCGAGAGGGGAAUAACGGCUGGAAACGGUCGCUAAUACCGCAUAACAUACUGGAGGGACAUCCCUUUGGUAUCAAAGAUUUAUCGCUCGGAGAUGGGCUCGCGUCCGAUUAGGUAGUUGGUGAGGUAACGGCUCACCAAGCUGACGAUCGGUAGCCGGACUGAGAGGUCGAACGGCCACAUUGGGACUGAGACACGGCCCAGACUCCUACGGGAGGCAGCAGUGGGGGAUAUUGCACAAUGGGGGAAACCCUGAUGCAGCGACGCCGCGUGUGGGAAGACGGUCCUCUGGAUUGUAAACCACUGUCCCCAGGGACGAAGAUGACGGUACCUGGGGAGGAAGCUCCGGCUAACUACGUGCCAGCAGCCGCGGUAAUACGUAGGGAGCGAGCGUUGUCCGGAAUUACUGGGUGUAAAGGGAGCGUAGGCGGGACUGCAAGUUGGGUGUCAAAUCUACCGGCUCAACCGGUAGCCGCACUCAAAACUGCAGUUCUUGAGUGAAGUAGAGGCAGGCGGAAUUCCUAGUGUAGCGGUGAAAUGCGUAGAUAUUAGGAGGAACACCAGUGGCGAAGGCGGCCUGCUGGGCUUUUACUGACGCUGAGGCUCGAAAGUGUGGGGAGCAAACA
rnacentral:rRNA from 1 species